rnacentral:rRNA from 1 species
UACGAAGGGGGCUAGCGUUGUUCGGAAUUACUGGGCGUAAAGCGCACGUAGGCGGAUACUUAAGUCAGGGGUGAAAUCCCGGGGCUCAACCCCGGAACUGCCUUUGAUACUGGGUAUCUCGAGUCCGGAAGGGGUGAGUGGAAUUCCGAGUGUAGAGGUGAAAUUCGUAGAUAUUCGGAGGAACACCAGUGGCGAAGGCGGCUCACUGGUCCGGUACUGACGCUGAGGUGCGAAAGCGUGGGGAGCAAACAGGG